rnacentral:misc_RNA from 1 species
GGAGAGUGGAGUGGAGGGACCUAUGCAAACAAAUUUAGUCAGGUGGUCCCUUCCAUCUAUUUAUUGCAUUUAUUAUCAUGUUACCUUCUACAGUUAGUGCCUUUUAAUUCCUUUUUUUUUAGCCUACAAUUCAAGUAAUUCUCUUUAUUUUCAUUUCAUACAAGCAAAGCACAAAUGCAAAUUUGAAUCUGUCAUCCAUGCUAUUGCUAGUUGCUAGUGUUUGUGUGAUUCCUUCUAAUAUGAUUACAAACUUGGGUACUGAAGGUUUUCUUGCAUAGAAAAAAUAUACUAAUAAUAAGAACAAAAUUUGUUAGCAGAAAAUCUGAAAUUUUUAGUUAAACCCAAGAAAGAAAAAGAUAAAAUGAAAAUGGAAAAGAAAAAGGAAAAGGCAACAAUCAAGAAAAUAAAAGAAAAGAAAAGAAAAGCAAGAGAACAAAAGGAGAAGAAGAUAAUGAUUGGCAAUUAAAAAAGAAAGGAAAGGAUUAAGCUGAAAGAGCACAACAAAGAAAGAGGACCCCACCCCAACCCAAGUGAAAUAAACAGAGUGACAAUGUGAAUUUUUGGAAGUUAAGCUUAAAUGCGCCAAAAAUAUUUAGCUAGCUGCUUACUGACACAAGGAAGGAUCUGCUUAUCCGAAAUCUUCCUUUCUCUUCCUUCUCUGCACAAGACUGAAA